rnacentral:rRNA from 1 species
UGCUUGCACCUGAUGGCGAGUGGCGAACGGGUGAGUAAUGCAUCGGAACGUGCCCAAAUCCGUGGGGGAUAACGGCAGCGAAAGCUGUGCUAAUACCGCAUACGAUCUACGGAUGAAAGCGGGGGGACCUUCGGGGCCUCGCGCGAUUGGGGCGGCCGAUGUUAGAUUAGGUAGUUGGUGGGGUAAAGGCUCACCAAGCCGACGAUCUAUAGCUGGUCUGAGAGGACGACCAGCCACACUGGAACUGAGACACGGUCCAGACUCC